UUUAUAGAUAGAGCCACACAGCUGAAACCCAUCAAACACUCCUUCAUACUGCUACACCUGCUUGUUGUACAUCCUACACUGCUGUUUGUUGUAUUCCACCUCUUAUUCGUCAGUCAUGAGGCAACGUCAAGUUCCUUGGUUACUGAUUGGCUGGGGGGCGGGAGAAGAACAACAGAGACGCAAGGGUGUCCGGAGCAGUUCAACAGUUUCCCCUGGUACACUGUCUCUCCACCUGAUUACAGGAACGAUACUGCUGUAAAUGCACUAUGGUAAGAGUCAUACUGAAGUUAUGAAUCACACUGUAUUGUAGACAUUGCUAUUUUAAAUUAAAUGCACUGCGUUCAGAUUGUCAAAAUGUAGUGUGCGUUUUCGGCAAAGCUAACAAACAAGCUAAGCUACCACCGAGCUAGCGGCUGUGUAUCCAGGACUCCAGCAGGGUUGGGCUCACAUUCAGCUGUCACGCCACUGGAAGCCAUCAGUCCCUACAGCUGGCGAGAGGAAAUCAGACAGCGCACUAUCAAGAAUGGACAUGGACAUGGACAUCAACAGACAUCAAGUGCUGGCAGGACAAAUCUCGAAGAGCCAUACGAAAGCAAAGCUGUAGGAAGAUUUUGACUAUGUCCUCGCUACAAUCUGGUGAGGGGCAGCGCAUCUCCUGCAGGUUCGACACACACUGUAAUGUAUACAAUACCACACCACCAUGCCUAAGUUGUCAGCCACAGGGUUCUGUACUUGUACUAUGUGUCAUUAUUUUUCAGCGGUACUUUUUUCACUCACACCGUCGCCACUACUGUCGCAUGUGCACUGAAAGCUGAAAUGUGUUAAUCUAACAAUUAUAGGCUUUUACUUUAAAAGUGGAAUUGUCAAAUCAGACCUGUUACAGUACACUGGUUACACAUGUACGUAUGGUACAUGUGUUUUGGAGGCUGACUUUGCUUUUUAGUUUUUUCCCUCUACAGGUUUUGCUGUGGAGUAUCUGUUCAGGGCCAAGUUGAGUGUGACCACAAGACUGAUGGGUCUUGUGAUGUGUGCUACGUUUGUUUCUGUGAUGAACAAACAUCUAACACUC